rnacentral:rRNA from 1 species
GAUGAACGCUGGCGGCGUGCUUAACACAUGCAAGUCGAACGAAGCACUUUUAAUUCUUCGGAAGAGAAAGUGACUGAGUGGCGGACGGGUGAGUAACGCGUGGGUAAACUGCCUUAUACAGGGGGAUAACCGUUAGAAAUGACUGCUAAUACCGCAUAAGCCGAUAGAGUCGCAUGACUUAGUCGGAAAAGAUUUAUCGGUAUAAGAUGGACCCGCGUCUGAUUAGCUAGUUGGUGAGGUAAUGGCCUACCAAGGAGACGACCAGUAGCCGGCUUGAGAGAGUGAACGGCCACAUUGGGACUGAGACACGGCCCAAACUCCUACGGGAGGCAGCAGUGGGGAAUAUUGCACAAUGGGGGAAACCCUGAUGCAGCAACGCCGCGUGAAGGAAGAAGUAUUUCGGUAUGUAAACUUCUAUCAGCAGGGAAGAAAAUGACGGUACCUGACUAAGAAGCCCCGGCUAACUACGUGCCAGCCGCCGCCGUAA